AGUGAACGCUGGCGGUAGGCCUAAUACAUGCAAGUCGAACGGCAACACAGUAAGCUCGUGCCCUUACGGUUGGCGACUGGCGGACGGGUGACGCAUAGAUCGGCAUCCACUUUUACGUGGGGGAUAACGGAAAGACACAUACGCUACUACAGCAUAUGUUCUACGGCAGAAAUCAAUAGAGCAUCGGACCUUUCGUGUCUGUAAUAGCCGACGUCGGAUUAGCUAGUUGGCGGGGUAAGGGCCUACCAAGGCGACGAUACGUAGCUGAUCUGAGAGGAUGAUCGGCCACACUGGAACUGAGACACGGUCCAGACUCCUACGGGAGGCAGCAGUAGGGAAUAUUGGGCAAUGGGCGCAAGCCUGACGCAGCCAUGCCGCGUGAGUGAUGAAGGUCUUCGGGUCGUAAAGCCCUGUUGUUAGGGAAGAAAAGCUGCGGAUGAAAACACGGCUGUUCUGACGGUACCCAAAGAGUAAGCACCGGCUAACUUCGUG
rnacentral:rRNA from 1 species